GGAAGAGCCCGGUCAUGAGAAAGGUAUUCAAAAGGAACACCAGAGCCAAUGCAAAGCUCCCUUUGGAAUUUCCUACAAAGACUGGCAACUCUGAACAGCCAGUAUGCGAAACUGCACUGCAUGACUCACCCUGCACACCACCUGCCUGUGCUUUUACCAGCAAUUCCUCACGUGCCUCAGGAUACCCGAAGAUUCAGUGGGCAUGAUCCCACGACCAAG